GAUGAACGCUGGCGGCGUGCCUAAUACAUGCAAGUCGAGCGAACGGACGAGAAGCUUGCUUCCCUGCUGUUAGCGGCGGACGGGUGAGUAACACGUGGAUCACCUACCUCUAAGACUGGGAUAACUUCGGGAAACCGGAGCUAAUACCGGAUAAUAUUUUGAACCGCAUAGAUCAAAAGUGAAAGACGGUCUUGCUGUCACUUAUAGAUGGAUCCGCGCUGGAUUAGCUAGUUGGUAAGGUAACGGCUUACCAAGGCAACGAUGCAUAGCCGACCUGAGAGGGUGAUCGGCCACACUGGAACUGAGACACGGUCCAGACUCCUACGGGAGGCAGCAGUAGGGAAUCUUCCACAAUGGGCGCAAGCCUGACGGAGCAACGCCGCGUGAGUGAUGAAGGUCUUCGGGUCGUAAAACUCUGUUAUUAGGGAAGAACAUAUGUGUGAGUAACUGUGCACAUCUUGACGGUACCUAAUCAGAAAGCCCCGGCUAACUUCGUG
rnacentral:rRNA from 1 species